ACGAGCGCAACCCCUAUCCCUAGUUGCUAGCAGUUCGGCUGAGAACUCUAGGGAGACUGCCGGUGACAAACCGGAGGAAGGUGGGGAUGACGUCAGGUCAUCAUGGCCCUUUACGGCCAGGGCUACACACGUGCUACAAUGGCGCGCACAGAGGGCUGCAAACCCGCGAGGGGGAGCCAAUCUCACAAAACGCGUCGUAGUCCGGAUCGCAGUCUGCAACUCGACUGCGUGAAGUCGGAAUCGCUAGUAAUCGUGAAUCAGAAUGUCACGGUGAAUACGUUCCCGGGCCUUGUACACACCGCCCGUCACACCAUGGGAGUGGAUUGCACCAGAAGUGGUUAGUCUAACCUUCGGGAGGACGAUCACCACGGUGUGGUUCAUGACUGGGGUGAAGUCGUAACAGGGUAGCCGUAGGGGAACCUGCGGCUGGAUCACCUCCUU
rnacentral:rRNA from 1 species